GGGGUUCGGGGUUGGGAUGAUCAAGGGAUUGGUUUGCAGGCGUUGGGUGGACGGGGGAGACAAUGAAAUUCGAAUUAGAAUGCCACUUAUGAAACUUGUUUGUACUUCCGUUAGAAAGGUCAGUUUCCUCCACACCAUACAAUCUCUUCGUGUCAAAUGGGUUGUCUAAAUUGCAACACAGCCAUUAAAUGAAAUGCAGGAAAGAAUUCCUAUGUAUCUGUGUGAAGUUGGAAGAGUUAGUUUUGAAAGUUAGAAAGUUUUUGUCUAUGUGUUUUUGAUAUGCAAUUUUUUCUCCUAAUGUUCUUUCACCUAAAUGAUGAGCUGAAGAAAAUGGAUGAACAGCUAAAAAAUGACAGAAGCUUUUCUUGUAAGCAAGGUUUUAGUCUCCUUUAAGCUCAGAGGCGUACGUAGCCUGUAAGGUUGGGGUUCAACUGAACCCCAAACUUUGGACACGGAGCCUAAACUUAUGUGUAAAAAAUUAUUAAAAUUGCAAUAAAUAGUAGAUAUGAACCCCUAACUUUAAAAAUAUAAUGGAUUUAAUGCUAAAAAUCUAUAGAUUGAACUCAUAAAGUUUAAAUCCUGGAUCCGUCUCUGUUUAAGCUAAAAGAUUACGUAUCGAAAAAAUUGUAAUUGUAAUUGUAAUGCUAAAGGGUACAAUUGAAAUAAGCAGAGCUCAAAAUUUUGGCACCUAAGUUUUAAGACAAAGGGGAGCUUCUGAUAAAUUAUUUUUGAAUGACAAGUUCAUAAAGUUAAAUCAUUUUGACUACCAUUGCCCAAAAACUAAGAUAAGUGAUUUCAUUUCAAUUGUAUUGCACUACCAAACUAUGCCUAGAUAUGACUAAGAAUCUGAUACAACCAUAUGUCAACGCCUUGUAUUCAAAUGUUUGAAUUGAGCAAAUAAUUUGUCCUGAAAAUACAAACCAGCUUCACUAAUACACUGGGGUGUUCUUUAUUGAUCUUAUGGAUAGUGAAGAACAGCAGUAUUCCUUUAAUUAGCAGAUGUGCAGAGGCCCUUUCAAUAGUUUUGAUCAUGUCUGCAGUUCAUAAAGAUGUUUAUUUGGAGCAUUUGGAUGUAUGUUUGCGUAAACUAUGACAAUUCAUUUCUGAUUUUUAGCUAAGGCACAGGGAUAAAUUUGUUUCAUCUGUUCUUCAGAUAGCUGCAGUUUUUAACUUGAUUUUGACGCUUCUUGAUGGAUUCUGAAUAUGAGCUUCUGUUCUACGGUGUUUGAAAUCAUUAUACCAUCACCAAUGCCUAACAGAACUGUCGGCCUUUGUCAGCUCCUCUGUUGUUUGCCGGACUUAAUGUUGUUUGGUCUCAACGAUAACUCCUGUUUGCGAUUUUGUAUGCUUCCGUCCUUAUUGGGAAAGAAGAGUGCCAUCUUGCUGCUGCUUUGUUUAGCUUGUUUUAUAUGUUGUUGAUUACUCAGAGAACUUAGUGGUGUGUUUUCACCAACACCAUUCAGUAAGUUAAGCAGAGAGGUGUCUGCAAUACCAUUGAAUCCUCAUUGUUCAUCUGCUUGCUAAUUUUGCUGUCAAACACUCUGGAUUUGGAUGCAAUAAGAAUAGAAAGAUCUGCCGAAGGUCGCGUUGCUGGCUGCGGUACUAUGUAUCUACAGGCCCUUAGCAUUUGAUGCAGAAUAUAGUCGUUGGCUAGAAGAACACAACAAACACAUCACUGAGUGAAGGACAGCUGUCAAUUCACAUGCAAGUGACCCUGAACUGCGAAGUAUUGUGAAUAAUGUCACUGCACAAUUUGAUGAGGUUUUCAGGGUGAAAGGAAAUGCAGCCAAGGCGGACGUAUUCCAUGUCUUGUCAGGGAUGUGGAAAACCCUCGCCGAGCGGUGUUAUGUAGAUUGGUGGCUUCCGCCCAUUGGAACUUCUUAAGAUACGGGUUUUCAGGAGCAUACACCUGCGCAGUAGGAUCACCUCAGUUAUCAGCUUAUUGGUGAGCCCCAUUCCUCUCAGGGUUCAACAUGGAGUCUGCAUUAGUAUUCAGUUUAUGGUAGUCCAGGGCCAUGUCCUGGUAGUUAGUAUUCAAACAUAUUUUAGAGGUUUCAAAGACAGAUGUUAGUCCACAGAGUCAGUUAUGCUUUCAUGUUUGCAGACUGUUAUGUUUUCAUGAUUUUUCACGCUAUGAGAUAAUUUCAAGACUUUAUUCCGCAAA